rnacentral:rRNA from 1 species
UACAGAGGUCUCAAGCGUUGUUCGGAUUCAUUGGGCGUAAAGGGUGCGUAGGUGGCGUCGUAAGUCAGGUGUGAAAUCUCGGGGCUCAACCCCGAAACUGCAUUCGAUACUGCGGUGCUUGAGGACUGGAGAGGAGACUGGAAUUCAUGGUGUAGCAGUGAAAUGCGUAGAGAUCAUGAGGAAGACCAGUGGCGAAGGCGGGUCUCUGGACAGUUCCUGACACUGAGACACGAAGGCCAGGGGAGCAAACGGG